rnacentral:rRNA from 1 species
AUUGAACGCUGGCGGCAUGCCUUACACAUGCAAGUCGAGCGCGAAAGGGGGCAACCCCGAGUAGAGCGGCGGACGGGUGAGUAACGCAUCGGAACGUGCCCAGUAGUGGGGGACAACCUCGAGAAAUCGAGGCUAAUACCGCAUACGACCCACGGGUGAAAGCGGGGGACCGCAAGGCCUCGCGCUAUUGGAGCGGCCGAUGUCCGAUUAGCUAGUUGGCGGGGUAAGAGCCCACCAAGGCGACGAUCGGUAGCUGGUCUGAGAGGACGACCAGCCACACUGGGACUGAGACACGGCCCAGACUCCUACGGGAGGCAGCAGUGGGGAAUUUUGGACAA